CGCCUCCUUAGAGCCCUCCUCUGAAGCCCGCUUUCCUAAACCGCCGCGGACUACGUCCCUAGGAGUCCCCAAAGCUACUCCCAGGGAGCCCAGUCCCCUCUGAGGUCAGCCCGCACCGGGGUGCUCCCAAACAGGCCUACCUAGGACCCCCUUGGGGUCGGUCCCACAAGACUCGCCCUCGUAAAGCACCCGCACUUGGCGCCCCCGCCCCGCCCGGCCCGACGCGGGCCGCCUCGGUCCCACCCGCGUCGCCCCGCAGGCCCCCAUGGCGGCGGGGGCGGGGGCGGGGGCGGGGGCGGGGGCUGGGCGGGCGAGCGGCGCCCCGCGGAGGGGCCGCCCGUCUCCCCGAGGAUGGCGGAUCCGAGAAUGCCUAGACCCACAGGAGGGAAUCAGCCAAGAGGAAGCUUCGAGGAGGUGAAGUCAGGCUGUGGGAGCGCCUUCCUCCACACCCCACUGGAUCCGGGUGAGGACACUCUAGGGCCAGAACGAGGCCCGGCUUGGAGCUCCUUCCUUAACCACGGUCCAGCUGCUUCUGCCUUCUUCCUGCCUCCAGGACCAGCAGCUCUGUCCCUCCAGCUUCAGGCCAGAACUUUCACUCCCAGAUGCAAUCCAUUGACAAGUCCGCUUCCCGUCCCUUCUAAAUGCAUCUAGAAUCCUGCCCCCUCCAGGGGCCCCAUCUGGUCCAGGCCCCAGCAUCUCUUCCCUGGACAAGUCCAGCCUUGACCUACCUCUUCUCACCCCCAGCAGUCUAUCCCUCGCUGCCACCAGAGGGAACCUGUGGACGUCCCAGUGAGGUCCCAUCCCGCCUCUGGUUGGAGCCGUCCGUGGCUCCCACCUUGCUCAGAGCAAAAGCCAGAGUCCUCCCCAGGGUGACAAGGCCCUGCAGUGUCUGCCCUGUCCACUCCUGGCCCUCGUGUCUUCCAUUCCCCUCUUCCCUCCCUGUCUCCUCGUGCUAGCCUCAAAUCCACCAGGCAGGCCAGCCUCAGGAUCUUUGCAUGGGCUGUUCCCGCCACUCCGUCUUCACUUCCUCCAAGUCUCCACUGCAAGAUCACCUUCUCAGUGACAGCGUCCCUGACUUGCCUCUUUCAAAUCGCUCCUCCUUGCUCUGUCCUGCUGUCUCCUCCCCAUAACCCUGUCACCUCUCAACGCACUGUUUCACUGCCGGUCUUGUUUCUUGUCUGUCUCCGGUACUCACAUGUCCGCUCUUCCAGGGCAGGAAUAGGUGCCUAAAGCAGGACCUUGGGGGUAUCUGUUGAAUCCAUGUGUUGAUAAUCGCCACAUUCCCAGCAUGUCAAGGAGCAAAACAGACACAAGACCUGCCUGCCACAUAGCCAGAACAUUCCCCUGUAGAGUUUCCAGGGCUGGGAAGAAGCACACAGCCCAAGAGGAAAGACAGGAGGGCCGGCCGUGGCGGCGUGGGUCGGAGCGGGAGGCCGAGACCGGAGGAGCUUGCCCGGGAGUCCUAGGAGACCCAGUCUCUGCAAGCAAGCGAGCGAACAGCCAAAGGCGCAGGGCUGGGCCUGGAGAGAGGGGGUCCCGCCAAGGCAACCUUCUGGAACCUAGAGGUCUUGAAAAAUCCCAGCAGUGUGACCGCUCCUGACUCCAGGCAUCGCAGAGUCGUGGGAAGGUUCUAGGCACGUGCACCAGGGGACACCUGCAGCAGGAAGGAUGAGUGGAGGCAGAGGGACCGCGGAGAGUCGAGCGUGCUGUCCAGGUGAGAGGACGUUGGCCUGGAGCCGGGGCCUGGGGACAGGCGGGAGUGGACAGCUCCAGGAGGCAGAGCUGACUCGUCCGUCUGAGAGGUGGACUGGACAGGAGGGAGGAAGCCAGGAGGAAGGUUGGGGCCCUGGCACACAGAACCACCCGUGGGACACCUUGGAGAUGUCCCAGGAGGGAGUCACCAGCUCCCAAGGACCAAAGCCAGGCCCGGGAGGAAGUGCCUCGCAAACAGGACUGAGAAGAAGAGGAGUCGAGGAAUGUUGUGUUCCUGGGCCAAGGAGGAAGUGCACAAAGGUGACCGCUGUUGCAGGACAGUGACAUCCGAAUAGGUGACUGGACUCAGCAGCUGGUGUCGGUGGUGUGAUCAUGAAGCCACCUGAGGAGUAGGAGGGAAGCUGCAAACACAGCGCCGGGAGCCACGGAGCCCCGAGUAGAUGGAGCCGGGGGGCCCGGCCAGCGAGCCUCGCCCAGCCCUUUCUGUGUUGUUUUUGAGACAGGGUCUCAUUUAGUUGCCAAGGCUGACCUCGAACUUCCGAUCCACCUGCCUCAGCCUCCCAUGUUGCUAAAACGACAGUACAGUACUCUGCACCUGAGCCCCAGUUGGCAACACCACCAAAGGUCCAUCCGUGGAAGGCCUGAUUGAAAGACCUGGCAUGUCCUGUCUGGUGUUAGUCCACAGUUAAAGGACGGACGUUCCCAUAGAUGCUGCACCAUGAAUGAGCCUUGAAAAGGGAAAGAAGCCGGUCACAAGCCACGUCGGAUGACACCAUUUAUACAGAGAUGACUGCCCUGCGCUGAGAGAGAAAUGGGGCGUGGCUGCUGAAAGGUGUGGGGAGAUGUCACAUUCUCAGAUGGAUCGUGGGCCAGGUGUGGUGCAUGGCCCCUGUGAUCCCAGCUACUUCAGAGCCCAGGAGUUGGACACCAACCUGGCAAGAAAUCCCUGUCUCAAGAAAUCAAAGAGGCCGGGCUCAAUGGUGCAGCCUGUAAUCCCAGGGGCUCGGGAGGCUGAGGCAGGAGGAUCUCAGGUUCAAAGCCAGCCUCAGCAACAGGAGGCCCUAAGCAACUCAGUGAGACCCUGUCUCUAAAUAAAACACAAAAUAGGGCUGGGAUGUGGCUCAGUGGUCGAGUGCCCCUGGGUUCAAUCCCUGGUACCAAAAAUAAAAUUAAUAGUGGUGCUGGCUGCUCAAAGCUAUGGUUUUAAAAUAUUCAAUUGUAUUUAAUAAAUCAGUUGCAAGAUAUGGGGCUUGUAUCUCAAUAAACCUUUUAUU